GGCGGAGCUCGACAGCUAUGGUCAUACCACAGGGACACGGGCAAGAGGAUAAGAAGCUGAAAACGUUUGCAGUGUUGGUCAGGAUGAGAAGAGCACUGAGCAGAACCGCAAUCACAGCUCCAAACAGCAAGGUCAGCAGGUGGAACACCUCAGGAGGAGAGCAGGAUUCUGAAAAGCAACAGAAAACCCACAGUUUUACUUUUAAAAUACAGACAUUGACAAUAAACUGUAAAUAAUUAGAUUUUUUCUGAAACUGUCAAAGCUGCAUUGACCAUUAUAGUAAUAGCAGCUUAUCAACACACCAGACUGGAGGAGCAGUGAAUACAGUGAAUGACAAACCUUCAGAUUUCUCUGGAUUCCUGUAAGAUACUUGACUUUUCUCUGAAAUAAAAUUUAUAUUUGAGUGCAA